rnacentral:rRNA from 1 species
UACAGAGGUCCCAAGCGUUGUUCGGAUUCAUUGGGCGUAAAGGGUGCGUAGGCGGCGCGGUAAGUCGGGUGUGAAAUCUCGGAGCUUAACUCCGAAACUGCAUUCGAUACUGCCGUGCUUGAGGACUGGAGAGGAGACUGGAAUUUACGGUGUAGCAGUGAAAUGCGUAGAUAUCGUAAGGAAGACCAGUGGCGAAGGCGGGUCUCUGGACAAUUCCUGACGCUGAGGCACGAAGGCCAGGGGAGCAAACGGG